UGGGGAAUUUUGCACAAUGGGGGAAACCCUGAUGCAGCGACGCCGCGUGAUUUAGAAGGCCUUCGGGUUGUAAAAAUCUUUUUUACGGGAUGGAAAUGACAGUACCGUAAGAAUAAGGUCCGGCUAAAUACGUGCCAGCAGCCGCGGUAAUACGUAUGGACCGAGCGUUGUCCAGAAUCAUUGGGCGUAAAGGGUACAUAGGCGGCCUAGUAAGUUAGAAGUGAAAUAAUAUAGCUCAACUAUAUAAAGCUUUUAAAACUGCUAGGCUUGAGAGAUGGAAGGGAAAGUGGAAUUCCUAGUGUAGCGGUGAAAUGCGCAGAUAUUAGGAAGAAUACCGGUGGCGAAGGCGACUUUCUGGUCAUCAUCUGACGCUGAGGUACGAAAGCGUGGGUAGCAAACAGG
rnacentral:rRNA from 1 species